CCAGACUCCUACGGGAGGCAGCAGUCGGGAAUAUUGCGCAAUGGAGGAAACUCUGACGCAGUGACGCCGCGUAUAGGAAGAAGGUUUUCGGAUUGUAAACUAUUGUAGACAGGGAAGAAAAAAAUGACAGUACCUGUAAAGUAAGCUCCGGCUAACUACGUGCCAGCAGCCGCGGUAAUACGUAGGGAGCAAGCGUUAUCCGGAAUUAUUGGGUGUAAAGGGUGCGUAGACGGGAAUACAAGUUAGUUGUGAAAUCCCUCGGCUUAACUGAGGAACUGCAACUAAAACUAUAUUUCUUGAGUGCGGGAGAGGAAAGUGGAAUUCCUAGUGUAGCGGUGAAAUGCGUAGAUAUUAGGAGGAACACCAGUGGCGAAGGCGACGUUCUGGACCGUAACUGACGUUGAGGCACGAAAGUGUGGGGAGCAAACAGGAUUAGAUACCCUCGUAGCA
rnacentral:rRNA from 1 species